CAGCCGCCGCGGGAAUACGUAGGUGGCAAGCGUUGUCCGGAUUUAUUGGGCGUAAAGGGCUCGCAGGCGGUUUCUUAAGUCUGAUGUGAAAGCCCCCGGCUCAACCGGGGAGGGUCAUUGGAAACUGGGAAACUUGAGUGCAGAAGAGGAGAGUGGAAUUCCACGUGUAGCGGUGAAAUGCGUAGAGAUGUGGAGGAACACCAGUGGCGAAGGCGACUCUCUGGUCUGUAACUGACGCUGAGGAGCGAAAGCGUGGGGAGCGAACAGGAUUAGAUACCCGGGUAGUCCCUGUCUCUUAUAC
rnacentral:rRNA from 1 species